rnacentral:rRNA from 1 species
AUACGGAGGAUGCGAGCGUUAUCCGGAUUUAUUGGGGUUAAAGGGAGCGUAGAUGGGAGCUUAAGCCAGUUGUGAAAAGCGCGGGCCCAACCCGCGUCGUGCAAUUGGAACUGUGUUCCUUGAGUGGGUUCGGGGCAGGUGGAAUUCGUGGUGUAGCGGUGAAAUGCUUAGAUAUCACGAAGAACUCCGACAGCGUAGGCAUCCUGCCAGGCCCUUACUGACAUUGAAGCUCGAAGGUGCGGGUAUCAAACAGGAUUAGAUACCCUGGUAGUCCGCACGGUAAACGAUGGAUGCCCGCUGUCGGCGACAGACAGUCGGCGGCCAAGCGAAAGCGUUAAGCAUCCCACCUGGGGAGUACGCCGGCAACGGUGAAACUCAAAGGAAUUGACGGGG